rnacentral:rRNA from 1 species
UACAGAGGUCUCAAGCGUUGCUCGGAAUCACUGGCGUAAAGGGUGCGUAGGCGGGUCUUUAAGUCAGGGGUGAAAUCCUGGAGCUCAACUCCAGGAACUGCCUUUGAUACUGAAAGAUCUUGAGUUCGGGAGAGGUGAGUGGAACUGCGAGUGUAGAGGUGAAAUUCGUAGAUAUUCGCAAGAACACCAGUGGCGAAGGCGGCUCACUGGCCCGAUACUGACCGCUGAGGCACGAA